GUUUUCAGAAGUUUCUUCUAAAGUGAACACACCCCUCCCAGCUCCGCGGCCCAGCAAUUGCACGCUCGGGGUAUUUCUCUAGGGAUGAAAACAGACGUCGCCACGAAGACUUGUACACUGAGGUCUGGCUCACCGCUGCCCCAGGACGCACCGCGGGGACGGGGACAAGCAGGUGCCGUCACGCUCCGUGGACAACCACGCUACUUUUCCGUAGCAACAAGCUGCCGACAGGCGCCGCCGCGGCUGAACCCCGGAGGCCGAGCCAGACGCGAAGGAAUAGGGCCAAGGCACCUACGCCCCCAGCUGCCGGGAGACUGUCGCCGAUGGCUCCCUGCCGAGUGCCUCACUAGGAAUCAUCCCGGACCAAAGGGAGCAGCCACCCUACCCCUGCAUCCAGUGAGGGUCAUCCCAGCUGCACAGUCCCUGGAGCCGAAGAGGCAGAAAUAUUAAGUAUCGUGUACAAGGCCACCCAAGAAAGCAUUCACGCCCUGCGUCGUCCCUGUCUGCCGGCCAUGAACCACGUCGUCUCCCGGGGACCGGGGAGCCGGAAGGCCACAUUGGGGUGCUCUGAAUGAAGGUCAAGUGAGACAACGUGUGCAAAGCACUGGGCAUGCGGAGGACCCGUGAGUUACCAUCACCCUUGUUCCCCCUUCCCCAUGACCUUGCAAAUGUCUGCUCGGAGGAGGGCCUGCCAGGGCCAGAGGCCAGGUCUCCGGAAGGGGCUCCCAAGGCUCGCUAGGGUUGCGAUUCCGGCUCCUGUCCUGCGACCCCGCCGCCCGCGCCUGAAUUUAAGGGCUCCACAGGAGAAGAGCGAAACUCUGGGGAAGAGGGAGGACGGCACAGAGCCAGUGCUUCGGGAAGUGGUGUCUCAGCCCAGCGGUGAGCCAGCUUGCUGGGUGCGACUUCCGUUUGUCCUUGAUCCGAACAUCCGCCCCCUUCACCCCAAUCCCCUAUCUUCACACUGUUCCCUCCAUUCCCUUUAACCUGAAUUUGACCCCACCUUGUCAAGAACUUCACCCCGACCUUCCCUGGUACAACCAGUUUAACAGAGAGGCACCACUGCAAUUUUUGGUCCUCGAAGGUCAAUGGGCAACAGCGGUUACGCCUUCUAGUAUUUACUUAGCACCGACCACGUGACUGAGCACGUGGCUUCCACAGGCGAGCCCGAGCUCACACGGUGGCCUGGCCCAGAGCCUCGGGAUGACGACCAGGGAGGGGAUGACGAUUUUGUAGCAAGCGGCAAUGGCAGGGGGAGGGGCGGAGGUGAGGCGAGCUCAGCAGGACCGUCCUCGAGGGUAGGUAGGGUGGGAGUCGUUGGGCAGGCCCGCUUGGGGACAGCAGCACCAAAGCAGCAAAGCAGAGCAGCUCAGGACGUCCAGGGCCCGGCACGCGUCCAGGGGCACGGGAGCCACGCGACUGUGGCGAGCGGUCCUUAGGAACGCCCGACGGGAACGGUAAAGCAUUUAGGCCGCCUCCCGCAGGCAGGGGGCGACUCGAGGCCGUGGGGCCAGCACGAGGCCCGGGGACACAUCGAGGUCGGGCCCGGACUGAGGCCCGAGGGCCUGAGGAGCGUUGCGGAAGACUGAGGAACACGGUCGCUCGGGAAGCGGGAGUUGUAGUAACGGAAGGACGGGCCAAAACUCAAGACCACUUUUUCAUUUUUUAAAUCAAACACUUUAUUUUCCACAUAACAAGCGCAAAAAACUCCCAAACACUUUAACAAUACAAUUAACGCAGUUAUGAAUUCAAUUAUAGGUACUACUCAGAGCCCCAAAAGGUCAAUCAGCUUAACGUUCCAAACAUUUCCAAACGUGGUUUUUCAAAGCUACCUUUGGUUUUUGGAAAAACCAGUAUGGAAGUCAAUAUACACUGAAUGCACUGAACAUUCGCUCAGAGGAAGGGGUCCAGUGGCAGCUCACACCCGGCAAGCUGGAGCGCGAUUUGGAGUCCUCCACGGAAAUACACGCGCAGGUUUGCCCCCGAGCUCCCGCGGCCGGGACAGAGGGCCGUGAAGGGGGGAGAAAAAGGCCAGUCCAGGUUGUGGCGUUUCUCGUUUUGUAACAGAGGUAUGAGUUUGACACUAGAACACUGUCAAGUCAUUAAGCUUCAUGUUCCAAACGGUCUCUUGCUGAGGCUUGAGGUGGGCACAAAUGGUGGGGAAGAUGAAGUCACAGAAGAGCUUUGAGCAACCAGAUCCCAAAGAUGCUCAAAGAGGGUAGGGAGGAGCAAGCUACAGUUUCCCAUUGUUCUCACAUUAUUUCAGGGUGAAAUUGUGGAGAAGUUCGGAUAGAAUGUUCAAAUAUUUGCUUAGAUUUUUUACUCGGUUGCUCUAUGAGGACCCUCAUACACAGCAACGUUGAAACGUUCAUUGUAAAAAAAGAGCGUACAAAUAAAUUCACAAAAAAGAGA